UCUGUCAAGCUCCGGCCACGCCCAUCCCUCCAGAGGUCCAAGUCCUCUACACCACCUCCUGUAGCCCCAGGACGGGUGAAGAAUGGGUGGAGCUCCUCUGCCUCAUUUCCGGCUUCUCCCCGGCCACCAUCGAGGUGGAAUGGUUGGUGGACGGCGUCGCCGGGCUUCUGCCGGCCACCCAAACGUCACCGCGUCGAGAAGAAGGUCCAAGAGCCACCUUCUCGGCCACCAGUCGGACCAACGCCAGUCGCGUGGAGUGGUUGGAAGGGAAGACCUUCACCUGUCAGGUGAAACAUCCGGCGUCGGGUGCGGUCGUGCAGGACCACGCCCGCCUUUGCGCAGGUGAGGACGCACAGAGCUUCAGCAACAUCGUCAUCUACGUCCUCCCCCCCAACGUGGCCGACCUUUACAUCACCCGCGCCCCCAAGGUCAAGUGUUUGGUCAUCAACCUUCCCAGCGACUCCGGCUUCCAACUCUCGUGGGUCAAGGAGACCCCAGGUGUCCUCACCCCGGACUUCCUGGACCUUCAUGAGGAGUUCAACGGCACCUUCACGGCCACCAGCACCUUGGCCAUCUCCACCCAGGACUGGGAAGCUGGAGAACAUUUCACCUGCAUGGUCAACCACGAGGAGCUCCAGUGGCCACUCAAGAAGACCAUCUCCAGGCGGGCCGGUGAGUUGACUUCUUUGUCAAAAAAACCUGCGGCG